rnacentral:rRNA from 1 species
ACGCACGCUGGCGGCGUGCUUAACACAUGCAAGUCGAACGGAAAGGCCCUGCUUUUGUGGGGUGCUCGAGUGGCGAACGGGUGAGUAACACGUGAGUAACCUGCCCUUGACUUUGGGAUAACUUCAGGAAACUGGGGCUAAUACCGGAUAGGAGCUCCUGCUGCAUGGUGGGGGUUGGAAAGUUUCGGCGGUUGGGGAUGGACUCGCGGCUUAUCAGCUUGUUGGUGGGGUAGUGGCUUACCAAGGCUUUGCCGGGUAGCCGGCCUGAGAGGGUGACCGGCCACAUUGGGACUGAGAUACGGCCCAGACUCCUACGGGAGGCAGCAGUGGGGAAUAUUGCACAAUGGGCGGAAGCCUGAUGCAGCAACGCCGCGUGCGGGAUGACGGCCUUCGGGUUGUAAACCGCUUUCGCCUGUGACGAAGCGUGAGUGACGGUAAUGGGUAAAGAAGCACCGGCUAACUACGUG